AAUGAACGCUGGCGGCAGGCUUAACACAUGCAAGUCGAACGAGUGGCGGACGGGUGAGUAAGGGCUGGGAAACUGCCCGAUGGAGGGGGGUAACUACUGGAAACGGUAGCUAAAACCGCAUACCAUAGGAAGUGCCCAGAUGGGAUUAGCUAGUAGGUGGGGUAACGGCUCACCUGGGCGAUGAACCCUAGCUGGUCUGAGUGGAUGACCACCCACAUUGGAACUGAGACGGCGUCCAGACUCCUACGGGAGUCAGCAGUGGAGUAUGUUGCACAAUGGGGGCGAACAUUGUGCAGCGAUGCCGCGUAUAUGACGAAGUCCUUCCGUUUGUAAAGUACUUUCAGCGGUUGGGCGUUACUCGCAGAAGAAGCACCGGCUAACUCCGUGCCAGCAGCCGCGGUAAUUC
rnacentral:rRNA from 1 species